rnacentral:rRNA from 1 species
AGCAGCCGCGGUAAUUCCAGCUCCAAUAGCGUAUAUUAAAGUUGCUGCAGUUAAAAAGCUCGUAGUUGAAUUUCGGGACUAAUAUGUCGGUCGUGCCUCGGUACGUACUGGCUUAUUGGUUUCUCCUUUCUGAAGAACCAUGAUGUCAUUUAUUUGGUGUCGUGGGGAAUCAGGACUGUUACUUUGAAAAAAUUAGAGUGUUUAAAGCAGGCUCACGCUUGAAUACAUUAGCAUGGAAUAAUGAAAUAGGACGUUUGAUUCUAUUUUGUUGGUUUCUAGGAUCGACGUAAUGAUUAAUAGGGAUAGUUGGGGGCAUUAGUACUCAAUUGUCAGAGGUGAAAUUCUUGGAUUUAUUGAAGACUAACUACUGCGAAAGCAUUUGCCAAGGAUGUUUUCAUUAAUCAAGAACGAAAGUUAGGGGAUCGAAGACGAUCAGAUACCGUCGUAGUCUUAACCAUAAACUAUGCCGACUAGGGAUCGGAUGAUGUUAAUUUUUAAUGACUCAUUCGGCGCCUUACGG